rnacentral:rRNA from 1 species
CAAUAGCGUAUAUUAAAGUUGUUGCAGUUAAAAAGCUCGUAGUUGGAUUUCUGGUGUGAGCGAUCGGUCUGGCGCUUAGCGCGAGUACUUGCAUCGUCUCCGGCCAUCCUUGGGGAGAGUCUGUCUGGCAUUAGGUUGUCGGGCAGAGGAUCCUCAUCGUUUACUGUGAAAAAAUUAGAGUGUUCAAAGCAGGCUUAUGCCGUUGAAUAUAUUAGCAUGGAAUAAUAAGAUAGGACUUUGGUACUAUUUUGUUGGUUUGCGCACCAAAGUAAUGAUUAAUAGGGACAGUUGGGGGUAUUCGUAUUCCGUUGUCAGAGGUGAAAUUCUUGGAUUUACGGAAGACGAACUACUGCGAAAGCAUUUACCAAGGAUGUUUUCAUUAA